GCCGGGCGUGGUGGCUCACGCCUGUAAUCCCAGCACUUUGGGAGGCUGAGGCGGGUGGAUCACCUGAGGUCAGGAGUUGGAGACCAGCCUGGCCAACAUGGUGAAACCCCGUCUGUA
rnacentral:sRNA from 1 species